rnacentral:misc_RNA from 1 species
GGCUCCGCUUCUCUUGGUGUAGUUGCCGGCGACGGAUGCAAGUAAAAUCCCUUCUCUUUGAUUGCCUUCUCCUCUGCAUCAGCAUCUAAUAAGUUACCAUUCACACUGUUAUUGUUAUGGUUUCUGUGGGGAUUUUUCAUGGGACUGUAACAGUUAGUGUAACUUGCUGCUCCAGAUCGGUCAAACGGGUCAGGUAUUAAGGGAGUGACAGGGCUGAGAACGAGGGCAGGAAAGUCAAGGAUGCUAGGAGAGAGGAUCUCGGGGUUUCGAGGCGAGAAUCCGGAACUGGGAGGAGCGAAAAUUGGGUUGAGCGGAUUGAUCUUAAGGUUUUUGAGGGAGUUUCUACGUUCGUACAGUUUGAACCCAGAGG